CCGUGGCAGUGGUUGGGCGACCCGGAAUGGACAAUAAAAGAGGAGUGAUAAUCUCAUUCCUCAAGUCUUUAUAAAGAGUGCAAGCCAGAAGGGCGUGUUGCCAUCUCCACAGGGACAUAAGCGUUUUUCAUGUGGAAUCUGUUGGAAUCGUCCCUCAAGUACAGCCGAGGGCAAUACAUUCAAUCUCGCGAGAGAGUCGAAAUGGGAAGGUGGAAAGUAGUCAUACAAUCGGCAAAAGUUUCUUAUUGUGGCCAAGUUGUUCUGACGCUCGGUCUCAUUUAAGGUAAAGGUAAAGGGACCCCUGACCAUUAGGUCCAGUCGUGCCCGACUCUGGGGUUGUGGCGCUCAUCUCGCUUUACUGGCCAAGGGAGCCGGCGUACAGCUUCCGGGUCAUGUGGCCAGCAUGACUAAGCCGCUUCUGGUGAACCAGAGCAGCGCACGGAAACGCCGUUUACCUUCCUGCCAGAGUGGUACCGAUUUAUCUACUUGCACUUCAUGCUUUCGAACUGCUAGGUUGGCAGGAGCAGGGACCGAGCAACGGGAGCUCACCCCGUCGUGGGGAUUCGAACCGCCGACCUUCUGAUCGGCAAGUCUUAGGCUCUGUGGUUUAACCCACAGCGCCACCCGCGUCCCGUGUCAGUCUCAUUCAGGCGCUGACAAAUUAGACUGCUUGCUUUACUAAAAGCCAAAGUGAGUAGCUGUUGUGGUGAUAAACCACAAGAGUGAAGGUUUUGAUGGGCAAUUUUAGUCCAGGCGCUCUUGUGACAAUCUUGCAGCCACAGAGCUGGCAAUCAACGAAGCAGAAUGCCAGCGUCAGAGCCAUGGCUUUUCAUAGAGCUGUCCAGCCAAAAUAAAUGCAUUCGCUCUAAAAGCCAAGUGGACCACAGUCUCUUAACCAUUGAGCCAAGUCAUUGUCCUCAACUGAUUGCUUCUCCUUUGUGAACGAUCACUCCAGAUCACCCUCCCUCUCCGAUGCUGAUAGUUGAUCCUCCACCUGGAGCGGUGAACGAAGGGGACUCGCUAGACCUCACUUGCCUGACCAACGAGGGGGAGACUGAGAAAAGAUUCACUUUCUACAGGGAUGGACUUGCGAUAACCUUCAGCGAUGAAGGAUCUGUGUGGAGCUUCAGAGAACCUGGAACUAACUUCUCAAAUGCCUCUGUUAGCAUCUUGAAAGCCAAGCUCAACCAUAGUGGAGAAUUUGCUUGCAGCUAUGAGGAAGAAGUUAGUGGCCGGUGGGUGACCUCUUCCAGGAGCCAGACGGUGAAAAUCAUGGUGAAAGUCCCAGAUCCUUCUCCACCAUCAGGUCCAUCGCUGGCAUUUGCGUAUUUGGCAGUCCCCUUUGUGAUUCUGAUGAUUCUCCUCGUUUUCUACUGUGGACAGAAAAAGACUGGUAGUUAUGUGAUGGGUUUUGAGGAUACUGUGAUGCUUAUGUGA
rnacentral:lncRNA from 1 species